CUCAUGGCUCCUUUUGGGCUCAUGAAACCCUUUGCUCCUUUGCUACAGAGCCUCUGCAGUUUUGGGGAAGUAGUUUCAUCGCAUGGAUGAAACCAUCUCCUCUUGUGCAUAUUCUAGCCAGCAGCAUCAGACUUAAAAUUCAAUUUUAUAGUGCCUUGUUGUCUUUUCAAUUAUCUACCAUGAAUAGGGGGUGACUUGACCAAAAUAAACAUUAAGUCACACUUUCUCCAAGAGAACAAGAAGCUUCAGCAUGUUGAGCUUUGCAGUUUCAUGGCCCCUGCACAAACAAUAAUAAUUUGUUAAGGUAAUUGAGAUUUCUGCUACAACUUUGGAGUAUAAUGGCUUAAAGACACCUUAAUGUGAGAUUGAGAUGUUUUUAAACAGAUUUUUGGUCCUACAGAUGGAGAGAAAGGCCUGCUGGGAUAUUGCCAAAUCCCAGGAGUUGGAUUUUUUGGAUGCCGAGGUUGAGACCAGCAGAUAGCUUGCUAGGUUAGCAUACAGUGACUUUCCUUUCUAUCAUCACAUCCAUUGACCAAUAACCUCAAUAUCUUGAGAAGAUGUGUGUCAAACACAACAGGAAUUCCUUUAGUCCUUGUCCACAGGGAUGAAGAGUCUCUCUGAAUACACCACAGAGGACUAUGAAGGUAUUCAGUUAAUAUUUACUGCUGAUGCUGAAAUGGAGAUUUCAUUUCCCAGAAGACAUCCUCAAAAUAUCUACAUGCAGAAUCCAUUUACUUCAUCUUUGGUCCUCAGAGAUGCAUCAACAUAUAAAGGCAUUUAAUUGCUGCAUUUUAAAUGCCCUGCUUGGAGAUUAAAUAUUACAUAGAAAAAUGGAUUCGAUAAAACAGAGCACAAAUCAUUACAAUUCCAAAACAUAAAUCUUUUUGUUACUGCUCUUUUGCUGCUGCUGCAAAUUGUUGGCAUGUUUUACUGGAGCUCUUUUUGUCUGUUUUUCUUUUAAAGUCUGUACAUAGAAAAGAGGAUGGAAGAUGUAGGUGGAGGGUGAGGGCAUUUUUUUGAGCUGGCUACAGUGAGACGAGGAAAUAUGUUUGCUUUAUAAAAUCAGAUUUUCACAGGAUUCUGGUUCCAUAUGGGAAAUAGAAGGGGUUGGAUAAUUUGGAAAGGACUUCCUAAAGAUAUUCCAAAAGAAUGAACUUUUGAGAUCAUCCAUUCCAUGUGCCAGGACAUCUUUUUUAAUAUGAAAUUUAAUCAGCAUUGUGUAAUGACAUUACAUUU
rnacentral:lncRNA from 1 species